GUAAAGCGCUUUUAUGGGGGGGCGUCGGACUGUUCUCAGGAAUAAGUCACGGCUAAAAAGUGCGAGCAGCCGCGGUAAUACGUAGGUGGCGAGCGUUAUCCGGAUUUACUGGGCGUAAAGCGCGUGCACUCCCUUUGCGUAAUUCGGACGUGAAAGCUCCUGGCUUACCUAGGAGAGGCCGUUCGAUACUGCCGGACUUGAGGUCGGAAGAGGGACGAGGAAUUCCCUGUGUAUUGGUGGAAUGCAUACAUAUCUGGAGGAACACCAGUGGCAAAGGCGGGCUCCUGGCCCGUACCUGACGCUAACACACGAAAGCAUGGGUAGCGAACGGAAUUAAAUACCUCGGUAGUCCACCCCGUAAACAGUGGAUACUAGGUGUGGGUGGCUAUCGUCCCCUGGGCGCCAGCUAACACGUUAAGUAUCCCCCCUCGGGACUACGGCCGCCAGGCUAAAACUCAAAAGUAUUGUCGGGGGGCGGA
rnacentral:rRNA from 1 species